rnacentral:lncRNA from 10 species
CUGAGGCUGGAGAAAGAGCAGGAGCCAGGGGACAAAGUCCUCUUGGCCCCUGUGGUGCCAUAGCCAGUGCUGUUUUCAGAGCCACCAGCUCCUCCCCUGCUGCCAAGAGCCUGGGUGGGCCUAUCUGGCCGCUUACAGAACCAGGGCUGGGCUACCUGGAGCUUGAGGUUUAAUGUGUGCACGGGAAGCCUCCAGAUGAUUUCUAAGCUGCCAAAGCUGCUGCUCUCAAAGUCGAAUUUCUUUCCCUGCUGGGUUCCACAAACAGUUCCUCUGCUGGAGUGGCUGGUCCUGUGCCAUCCCUGCCCCACAGUGUGACGUGGUGGGUCUUCUCUGCAGCUGACGCCCCCUUUGGCUGCUGAGGACUCUGAGGCUUGCAGGGGUUUGUCUAAAUGGAGGAGCAGGACCAGGACUGGAACCCUGAUUCCAAAGCCUCUGCUCUUUGCAUUGCGCCAUGGGGCACCUGUGCAUGAUCCGAGCUAAGGAGUGGGACCCUGCUGGCUUGACAGAGGCCUGGGAGAAGCAGGGCUUAGCUCCUUCUGUGCACCAGCCAUCCAUCUUCUGUGCUUUGGAUCAGGGCCUGAGAGGUGACUGCAGAGAGCCCUCAAGACCUGCCUCAAAGACAAGCAGCCACAGGGCAGGUCCAGAGCCCGGAGUCAGCAACUCACUGAUCAUGAGGAUUCGCCAAGUACAUCCACACAGCCUUCCCUUGAAGCCAGCUGCCUCUCUAGAGUCUUUCUGAAACUUUCCCAAGUGUUGAAGACUCUUCCACGCCAUUGAAAGUGGGCAGGGUGACAGCCCCACUCUGACCCUGCUAAACCAUGGGGCCUCGGUGGCCCCCCGUCCACCUGGUGCCAAGUGGGGUUUGGCCUGAGAGGUGAGCUCUUUCUGCCACUUCAGGUAAGGGGCUCGUUGGAGAAGGUAGGCAGGCGGCGCCAUUGUCACCUCUGUGGACCUGUCUACUGUCCACACAUCUGGACUUUGGGGACACCACUUUCUGGCUCUUUCAGACCACACACCCCCAACGGCCAGGACACACAACACUGUCUGCUCCUCUUCCUGGUGUUUCUGGAACAGGCCUCGAGGGUCGUCGCCCACAGUACGGCCUAGAAGGCCAGAGGAGGGCUUGGCCAGUGACUUUUGGUGAGCGCCUCUUCUCGCCCCUGCCAGGAGAGCCUCAUCACUCCGUCCUUCUGUGUGACCCCUGCCUCUUCAGCAUCACGCCCCUCCCCCAGGCUCCAGCCACUUUGUGCCAGCUGCAGCCACAGCCCCUUCGACACUCCCAAAGAGCCCUGCGCUCCAGGUUCCAGCACCCCCAUCCUGCGCCCUCUUCUCCACACGCGCAUCCCCCCAGCUUCUCUCGCACCCCAGAGGCCUCCUGACACCCCCAGCCCCGCGCUUACUGGUGCCUUCAGGCAGGCUCAGGACGCCGUCGACCUCCACCCAGCGGUAACAAGGGAACCUGACCUCGUCCCCGGCUCCGGGGCCCUACACGGAGAUCCAGCUGCAGAACCUGAAGGAAGUGACGUUUGCGCAGUUUCACAAACAUCAGCGGCCCCAGGUGAUAAAGCCUGAAAGGUAGAGAUCCAACAGCGCUAGCGGUUGAAACGUUUUUUAAAAUAGAGAAAGCGAGAGGACCGACGGCGGCUCCGGUGACUGCUGAGUUUCCAGACAAGGGAGCUCUGUGCAAUGAGGGGCGCACAGGAGCAUGCCCUCAAUUCCAAGAAGAUCAGGUAGCCGGAAAAUUUAUUAAGCGCUUACUGUGUGCCACCUGCGUGUUUUCUGUCCAAAUCAGAAAAGGAUUUGGACAGAAAACACGCAGGAAGAAGGAAUCAACCCCUGGUACAGCAGGCAGGCGAGGUAGGGGUAGGAGUUAUGCACGUGUAUGCAAGCCUGGAUGGCUGGGAAGCCAACCUCCAUCUAAAGGCAAGCGCGGACAUGCACACACACACACACGCCUCACAAGUUGGAUUGCAAGAGAGGGUGAAGUGGGCGAGGAGACCCAGUCAGCCGUGGCAUUUGAGGAAGGUACAUUUAGGCCACCGAAUUCAUUCCACCAACUUUGCACACUUGUCUUCCUUGUGCCAGGCUCUGGGACUCAUUCCUUUUGAGGGUAAAAGUCUGCCUCCCUGGACUCCUGCCCCUCAGGCGCUCCCACAGCCCGGCACCGCCCCCUCGCCAUUCCGGAGCCAGCGCGGGCUAAGCGGGCCUGGCCGGGGAUGAGCGGAGCCACCGUCCCCAUAUUCCUCGGUGCCCCGGGACCGCAAGAGGGAGCCGUGGUUUCCGGAACUCCUCCCGCCCCUCCGGGCUUUUCCUCUGUUAGGCAGGUGGCGAUUCGCUGUCUUUGCCUGUUAUGGCCGCUGCCGUCGCCCUGGAGACAGGUGAGUAGCGCUCUGAGCCUGGAGUCUUCGCAGAUAGAACUCUCCUUGGCCCAGACCUCUUCUCCCGCUUCCCCUGGGCCUCCUUCCAGGCCUCACUCCCGGCAGGAUUAGUAUUUGGACAGGGAGGAGAGAAGGCUCUUGCAGCGUCUAGAAAGGCUAAGGUACUCUGCAGUUUUCCUAAUUUGGUUUGUUCGCACACCUUUGCUAUUCAAACACGACCCCACCAGCUUCCCAGCGUGGGCGAGACUAAGGGAGAGGACUUGUGUCUUAAAGCGUGUCCUCCUUGUGUCUUAAAGCGUGUCCUUGAUUGGUUUUCUGCUUCUCACAUGAGCUUGCAUACGUUUGAAAUAUCGUCGCCAGACCUGUGUAUCAUUGUGUUACUUGUGAUUCUUAUAUAUGCAUAUGUUCCAUCAUCUUUUAGGCUCUCUGGAGUCUCUUGUUCAGCUUGCAUCCUAAGUUUUUCUUAACUGAUUCAGCACGUGCUUUUGCGAAACUUAAUCACUGUUAACAAUUGUUACAAUGCAUUAUUAAAAUAGGGGAAGCCACAGUUAUUACAGCCUACCUUAGAGAUCACUGUUAAAAUUCCUACAUAGUGGCCCAUGAGUGGUAGGUAUUGUGUCUCAUUUGUGUUGCUGUUUUCUUUGAUGAUUUCUCUUUACUUUUAAAGGUAACCCUCUUCCAUGACUGUUCCUUAAAGUGGUGCGCUGUCCCAGUAGACCAUGCUCUAGCUUUCCAAGCUGCUAGAACUGUCAGUGUUUCUCAGCCUUGGCACUAUUGACAUUUUGGGACCAGUGAUUCUUCAUCGUUGGCAGAGGGGAGGGUGUUGACCUGUGCACUGUAGGAUGUCAGGUGGCAUCCCCGGACUCUACCCGCUAGGUGCCAGUAGCACCUAAUGUGCCACCCACCCCCUCCCAACAACUUUUCAACCAAACUAAAAUGUCUCUAGAGGUUGCCAUAUAUCCUCUGGGGGACAAAAUCACACUUAGUUGAGAACCACUGUCCCACAUUCUACACACAGAAGCCAAAAGGAUAUUUUUUAAAUGUAAAUGGCAUCAUGUCGUUCCCCUGUUGGAAACCCUUCAAUGUUUUCCUGUUGACCUUAGAAUAAUCUCAAAUUCCUUACUGUGGCUUAGAAGACCUUCUGUGGACUGGCCCCUGCUUGCUUUUAACUCCUCUCUUCCGUUCUGCUUCCAUGUCUAUAUAAUUGCUUCUCUCUCACUCCAGCCACACUGGCCUUCUUUCUGUUCCUUGAACAUUCAAAGCUGGUUCCCAUCCACCCUUUGUAUUUGCUGUUCUUCUGCCUAGAAUGCACCUGUUCCAGAUCACUGUUCAUUCACACAUAUCUCAGAUUACAUGUUAACUAAUCAGCAAGGCCUUCCCUGACCAUUUUAUCAAAAGAAGCCACUUACUUCCAUUCUCUAUCACAUUACCCAUGUAUUUCCUUCAUAGUGCUAAUCACAAUAGAAAAUUGUCUUGUUUCAUCAUUGCUUGUCUGCCUUUUCA